ACUGCACACACGCAACAGAUAGCCAGAGAUUUGAGAGUUUUGGCUAGCUAACCUUGCUAAAAAAGUGCUAGUCAAGAUGUUUUACUUUCUUGCGUUGAGGCUCUGGAUACCAAUUUGUACCAUUUAGCUGCAUGCAGAGUCAUAAAAAGAAAGAGUUGCAUCAAUUGAUUGGCUUUACGUUCAUGGUACUGCACUGUAGGAUAGUUAGAACUAGAGCGAGCUAGCAUCAGUUUCAAACACAGCAGCAUCGUCGUUGUGGAACAGUUGUACUGCAUUGUAUGAAGGAGCUGUGCCAAGUCUGGCAUUGCUACUGAGGUUGAUGUGAGCUGAAAAGGAGGCCCAGUACCUUGGGGGUGGAUGUCGGACCAUUGGACGAACGAGCGCUGGAUGGGAGACCACUAGUUGAAGGAGCACUGGAUGGGAGAACACUGGAUGAGAGAGAGCUGGAAGGGGGACCACUGGAUGAGGGAAAAUGUGAUGGAGUGGGCUGUCUUAUAUUUGAACCACAGGAUUUUUGUCAUUACUAUGCUUUUAAUUGUGGUCGUUAUUAAGUUAUAUUGAGUUUGCUCCUGUUGACUUUAGCAAACCACCUCUUUCUCUCACUAUCAGCUGGGAAGCUGUAGCCUACAUCACGACUCCCUAUUUGGAGCAUGCAAUACAUCCAAGAUGCUUGGUGCAAGACCAAGACAGCGCAGCGUAGACAAAAGUGUUACCUUUAUUGUGACACUCUUUUCAUAUCAGAGACUAAAAUAACGUGUACAUAUUUGAAUAGUCAUGUUGACUAUCAUGUAGUUGUACUGUAGCCUUUCACAACCAAGUCCUUGAGGUUUAAUCAUUGUGCACUACACAUGCUUACAUUUUUUUUAAACUGUUUCCUAUUUCUAUCAUUACAUGGUCAUAAUUACCUUGUGUGCUGUCAGUUAUUGAUGAUUCAAUAAAAAGGAAUAAGUAGGGCAAGAUUAAAUAAAGAUGCAGAACAUACUA